rnacentral:misc_RNA from 1 species
GUGAAUCAUCGAAUUUUUGAACGCAAAUUGCACUCCCUGGUAUUCCGGGGAGUAUGCCUGUUUGAGGGUCGUUAGAAGAAAAAUCGAAGCAUCGCUCUUUUUUUGAGGGUGAUCGCGUCGGAAUUGAGCCGUCUUUCAAAUGCUAAUUCAUGUCAAAGUGGAUUAAAAUUUAUCCAUCUGGUACGAUUAAAGCGUAUUUAAGAUCAAUUCUGAUUAAGACCGCGCGAUGACGUACCAUGUCAUGUAGUACGUUUGACCUGGGUCAUCAGGUUAAUUCGUAUACGUUACUCCAACUUUUU